rnacentral:rRNA from 3 species
GGUUAAGCGACUAAGCGUACACGGUGGAUGCCCUGGCAGUCAGAGGCGAUGAAGGACGUGCUAAUCUGCGAAAAGCGUCGGUAAGGUGAUAUGAACCGUUAUAACCGGCGAUGUCCGAAUGGGGAAACCCAGUGCAAUUCGUUGCACUAUCGUUAACUGAAUACAUAGGUUAACGAGGCGAACCGGGGGAACUGAAACAUCUAAGUACCCCGAGGAAAAGAAAUCAACCGAGAUUCCCCCAGUAGCGGCGAGCGAACGGGGAGCAGCCCAGAGUCUGAAUCAGCUUGUGUGUUAGUGGAACGGUCUGGAAAGUCCGACGGUACAGGGUGAUAGUCCCGUACACCAAAAUGCACAGGCUGUGAACUCGAAGAGUAGGGCGGGACACGUGGUAUCCUGUCUGAAUAUGGGGGGACCAUCCUCCAAGGCUAAAUACUCCUGACUGACCGAUAGUGAACCAGUACCGUGAGGGAAAGGCGAAAAGAACCCCGGCGAGGGGAGUGAAAAAGAACCUGAAACCGUGUACGUACAAGCAGUGGGAGCACCUUCGGGUGUGACUGCGUACCUUUUGUAUAAUGGGUCAGCGACUUAUAUUCUGUAGCAAGGUUAACCGUAUAGGGGAGCCGCAGGGAAACCGAGUCUUAACUGGGCGUUAAGUUGCAGGGUAUAGACCCGAAACCCGGUGAUCUAGCCAUGGGCAGGUUGAAGGUUGGGUAACACUAACUGGAGGACCGAACCGACUAAUGUUGAAAAAUUAGCGGAUGACUUGUGGCUGGGGGUGAAAGGCCAAUCAAACCGGGAGAUAGCUGGUUCUCCCCGAAAGCUAUUUAGGUAGCGCCUCGUGAAUUCAUCUUCGGGGGUAGAGCACUGUUUCGGCUAGGGGGUCAUCCCGACUUACCAACCCGAUGCAAACUACGAAUACCGAAGAAUGUUAUCACGGGAGACACACGGCGGGUGCUAACGUCCGUCGUGAAGAGGGAAACAACCCAGACCGCCAGCUAAGGUCCCAAAGUCAUGGUUAAGUGGGAAACGAUGUGGGAAGGCACAGACAGCCAGGAUGUUGGCUUAGAAGCAGCCAUCAUUUAAAGAAAGCGUAAUAGCUCACUGGUCGAGUCGGCCUGCGCGGAAGAUGUAACGGGGCUAAACCAUGCACCGAAGCUGCGGCAGCGACACUAUGUGUUGUUGGGUAGGGGAGCGUUCUGUAAGCCUGCGAAGGUGUGCUGUGAGGCAUGCUGGAGGUAUCAGAAGUGCGAAUGCUGACAUAAGUAACGAUAAAGCGGGUGAAAAGCCCGCUCGCCGGAAGACCAAGGGUUCCUGUCCAACGUUAAUCGGGGCAGGGUGAGUCGACCCCUAAGGCGAGGCCGAAAGGCGUAGUCGAUGGGAAACAGGUUAAUAUUCCUGUACUUGGUGUUACUGCGAAGGGGGGACGGAGAAGGCUAUGUUAGCCGGGCGACGGUUGUCCCGGUUUAAGCAUGUAGGCUGGUUAUCCAGGCAAAUCCGGAUAAUCAAGGCUGAGGUGUGAUGACGAGGCACUACGGUGCUGAAGUAACAAAUGCCCUGCUUCCAGGAAAAGCCUCUAAGCAUCAGGUAACAUCAAAUCGUACCCCAAACCGACACAGGUGGUCAGGUAGAGAAUACCAAGGCGCUUGAGAGAACUCGGGUGAAGGAACUAGGCAAAAUGGUGCCGUAACUUCGGGAGAAGGCACGCUGGUGUGUAGGUGAAGUCCCUGCGGAUGGAGCUGAGACCAGUCGAAGAUACCAGCUGGCUGCAACUGUUUAUUAAAAACACAGCACUGUGCAAACACGAAAGUGGACGUAUACGGUGUGACGCCUGCCCGGUGCCGGAAGGUUAAUUGAUGGGGUUAUCCGUAAGGAGAAGCUCUUGAUCGAAGCCCCGGUAAACGGCGGCCGUAACUAUAACGGUCCUAAGGUAGCGAAAUUCCUUGUCGGGUAAGUUCCGACCUGCACGAAUGGCGUAAUGAUGGCCAGGCUGUCUCCACCCGAGACUCAGUGAAAUUGAACUCGCUGUGAAGAUGCAGUGUACCCGCGGCAAGACGGAAAGACCCCGUGAACCUUUACUAUAGCUUGACACUGAACAUUGAGCCUUGAUGUGUAGGAUAGGUGGGAGGCUUUGAAGCGUGGACGCCAGUCUGCGUGGAGCCAACCUUGAAAUACCACCCUUUAAUGUUUGAUGUUCUAACGUUGGCCCCUUACCGGGGUUGCGGACAGUGUCUGGUGGGUAGUUUGACUGGGGCGGUCUCCUCCCAAAGCGUAACGGAGGAGCACGAAGGUUAGCUAAUCCUGGUCGGACAUCAGGAGGUUAGUGCAAUGGCAUAAGCUAGCUUGACUGCGAGCGUGACGGCGCGAGCAGGUGCGAAAGCAGGUCAUAGUGAUCCGGUGGUUCUGAAUGGAAGGGCCAUCGCUCAACGGAUAAAAGGUACUCCGGGGAUAACAGGCUGAUACCGCCCAAGAGUUCAUAUCGACGGCGGUGUUUGGCACCUCGAUGUCGGCUCAUCACAUCCUGGGGCUGAAGUAGGUCCCAAGGGUAUGGCUGUUCGCCAUUUAAAGUGGUACGCGAGCUGGGUUUAGAACGUCGUGAGACAGUUCGGUCCCUAUCUGCCGUGGGCGCUGGAGAAUUGAGGGGGGCUGCUCCUAGUACGAGAGGACCGGAGUGGACGCAUCACUGGUGUUCGGGUUGUCAUGCCAAUGGCACUGCCCGGUAGCUAAAUGCGGAAGAGAUAAGUGCUGAAAGCAUCUAAGCACGAAACUUGCCCCGAGAUGAGUUCUCCCUGAGACUUUAAGUCUCCUGAAGGAACGUUGAAGACGACGACGUUGAUAGGCCGGGUGUGUAAGCGCAGCGAUGCGUUGAGCUAACCGGUACUAAUGAACCGUGAGGCUUAACCUU